UACGGAGGGUGCAAACGUUGCUCGGAAUCAUUGGGCGUAAAGCGCACGUAGGCGGUCUUGCAAGUCGGGUGUGAAAUCCCUCGGCUCAACUGAGGAACUGCCUUUGAAACUGUUCGGCUUGAGGCCGGGAGGGGGUAGCGGAAUUCCCAGUGUAGCGUUGAAAUGCGUAGAUAUUGGGAGGAACACCAGUGGCGAAGGCGGCUACCUGGACCGGUUCUGACGCUGAGGCGCGAAAGCGUGGGUAGCAAACAGG
rnacentral:rRNA from 1 species